CGUGAAGGGGACACAACGGGCGGGGUGCGAAGAGGCAGCACGGCUAUACGACUCAGGGGCGCGACCUGGGCAAAUGCGGCCCCUAUGGAUGCUCCAGACAGGCGUCUAGGAAGGAUCGCGAUACCACUUCUACAGAAAUAAACAGAAGUAUGGACAAGGAUUUUAUACAAUGAUAUACAUCUCAGUCAUAAUUGUUAUGUAAGGGGAGUGAGUAUGUAAGAUCUCAUAAAGCGUAAGGAGAUGUAACCUAAGGUGAUGGAGGAAGGAGUCAGUAGAUACCUCAGAAUGGCCCCUUUCAUCCUGAUCACACAGCAUGGGACAUUAACACAGAUCUAUGCUCUUCUCCAGCAGCUGGACCCAGGGUAACUUCUGAGAAAUGCUGACCUCUGGACUGACUUUAAGCAGAGAUGAAAGAAAUGUGUGUACAUUUUAAAAGCAGUGAUUAAA